AACGUAGGAGACAAACGUUAUCCGGAGUUACUGGGCGUAAAGGGCGCGUAGGCGGCCACGCACGUCCGUUGUGAAAUCGCUCGGCUCAACUGGGCGGGGUCAGCGGAUACGGAGUGGCUGGAGCAAGCUAGGGGGCAAUGGAAUUCCCGGUGUAGUGGUGGAAUGCGUAGAUAUCGGGAGGAACACCAGUGGCGAAGGCGGUUGCCUGGAGCUUUGCUGACGCUGAUGCGCGAAAGCGUGGGGAGCGAUCCGG
rnacentral:rRNA from 1 species